rnacentral:rRNA from 1 species
UACGGAGGGUGCGAGCGUUGUCCGGAAUCACUGGGCGUAAAGGGCGCGUAGGCGGCCUGCUAAGUCGAACGUGAAAUCCCUGGGCUCAACCCAGGAACUGCGUCCGAUACUGGUUGGCUUGAAUCCGGGAGAGGGAUGUGGAAUUCCAGGUGUAGCGGUGAAAUGCGUAGAUAUUUGGAGGAACACCGGUGGCGAAGGCGACAUCCUGGACCGGUAUUGACGCUGAGGCGCGAAAGCCAGGGGAGCAAACGGG